GAUAAUAGAACUCUAGAUCUAUUUCAAUGGCGAAAGUCUACACGUUGACUUUCUUUUCUGUUUGUGUACAUUUUCUUAUUUAUUCAACAGUUACAGUAUUGAUCUAUUUAUUUCUUGUUUUAUUCAUCAAAUAUUCUAAAUCUAGAUCUACUUCACCUUGUUUUUUUAUAAAUCAUUAAAUGGCUAGACCAAAUAAAAGGCUAGUUCAAUUGAAACAAGCUCGAAUGAGUCGCAAAUUAGAUCUAUAAUCUAUAUCUAGAAAUAGAUACCGGUAAAUCUAAGACUCUAGUCAAUCUAGAUCUAGAUAAAUCUAGUACUUCCACAACAAGUUCUAGAUCUAUAUGUAUAUCUUCAUCAACAUCUAGCCCAACUAGACUCUAGUCACUCUAGAAUCUAGAUCUAGAUGAGAUUCAUCUUCUGGACAUAAUAUUAAUAAUACGUUCCUACACAUUUAACAAACUGUGUGAACAUAUACUUUUAGACAUUAAUGAUAAUCUACCUGGAAUGUGUAGAAAAAAACUUUCUAAAUAUUACUAAACUAGUUUACAAAAAAAAGCUGAUAUUCGACAGGCUUUAGAACAUAAAACUGUUGACCUUAUUCAUCGGAAGCAUGCGGAGGAAAGUGGAGUUUCUAUUUAACAAAGAAGAUAUCAUUGAUAUUGAUGUCUCGUAUGAUGGUUCGUGGCUAACCAGAGACCACACAUCAUUUCACAUAUUGGAAUUGGAUGUGUUAUUGAUGUCUUAACAUGAUAUGUUCUGGAUUUCCACAUUGUUUCAACAUUUUGUUAGGUCUGUCAAACCACUGGCAGAAAGAUUAAAGAAAUUCCCAAUCACAGUGGAUGCAGAAUGGUUUGAAACACACAAGUCUUUUUGUGAAAUCAACUACACAGGCUCAUCAGCAAUGAUGGAAACACUUGCUGAGGUCAGUUACAAAAUUUCGCUACACAUCUAUGUUAUCUGAUGGAGAUGCUAAAUCUUUUAAAAGAAUAACUGAGCUUAAACCUUAUGGUGACAUUCCCAUAGUAAAAGAAGAAUGUGUCAACCAUGUAGGUAAAAGAAUGGGGUCUGCACUUUGAAAUUUAGUUGGUGAUUGUAGCAAAAAAGGUACUUCUCUUGGAGGCAAAGGGCAUGGUCAACUAACACAAAACACUACAAAAAAGUUAACACUUUAUUAUUCUAGAGCCAUAAGAAAGCACAAAAAUGUUUCUGAUAUGCAGAAAGCUAUAAUGGUAUCUCUUUAUCAUUGCUUGUCAACUGACAAAUCACCAAAACAUCAAUUGUGUCCAACUGGAUCUGGUUCGUGGUGCUUCUACAAUGCUGCUGUUGCUAAAAAUAAGACUCCUGGUCCACAUAGCAAGCUUCUCUGCACUCCUCUAAAUUAUAAACUACAAGCUGACUACUUGAAACCAAUAUAUAAAUGCCUCUCCGAGCCAGCCCUCUUACAACGUUGUUUGCUAGGUGCUACCCAAAACGCCAACGAGUCAUAGCAUUCCAAGAUUUGGAGUACUUGGGAUAAAAAGAAAUUUUCUUCUUUGAACAAAGUCACAUUUUCAGUCAUAUCUUCUAUUUGUGACUUUCACUUUGGAUUUGCUGCUUCAAAGAUAAUGAAAAACAUUCUGUUCUGCAAAAACACGUUUCAUGCCCAUCGUCUUGGUUUGAGUCGAUAGAACCAACGAUUAAGUGGGUCUGUAUAUAAAAAAAGUAAGGUGGUCAUGAGACAACUCAAGAUAAGGAGAGAUGCAGAGGGGCCUACUUCUGAAGCAGGACAGUUUUAGAUUUUAACUGUGUUUUUUUUUUUCUGCUUUUUCUUCUUUUUUCAGAAAUCAACCAAUGUAAAUUUCAUGUAGGUCAUUUAGCUGUACAUAUGAUUUCUCCUAAACUAAUUGUUUGAUUUUAAUGAAAUUUGAAACACUUGUUCUAGACAUGAUAUACCUUACUUGUAUAAUGAAUUUUUGUGAAACUUUUUAAUACUUUUUUCUAAGCUUUCAAAUCUAUACUUUAAACUCAUUUUUCUCAAAAUGUUACUAAAAUGUCAUUAUGCCUUACUAGGAAUUUCUCCUAAACUACUUGAUAGAUUUUGAUGAAAUUUUAAAACGCUUCUUAAGGACAUCAUUUACUUUACUGGUACAAUGUUUUUUUUUUCAAAAUUUUAUUUACUUUUUAAAAAAAAAGUAAUUUUAAAUAAUAUUUAUCAUGUUUUUUUAUGUCAAAAAUAUACUAAAAAUUCAAAAAUUUGUAAAAAAAUUAAACAUAUUUAAAUCAUUAAUUCUAGCUUUGUAGCCAUUUAGAGGAUCCUUUUCUCUUAUGUUUUAAUUCAACUUCAUGUAAUUCUGAUCAAUAGUUUUUACAAAAUUCUGACUUUUAAUUUGUAUACAAUAAACAAUAUGGCCGCCGUUACCAUGGCAACCAUCAAUCAAAAACAUUUCCUUUUAGCAUUAUUUAUUUUAAAAUAUCAUUAUAUGUUACCAUAACAAAUUUCAAAGGCCUAGCUUUAGAAAUAACAAAAAUAAGAUUUUCAGGGAUACCUCUUCUUAAGCUCGUAAGCACCGGUAGAUAGUCAGAGUUCUCUAAGGUUCACAGUGAAAGGCUUGGACGCAGACUCAACAUUGUCUUGAUCUGUCCGGCUCGUUGAGGUACUCGUGGCGGGUAUAUCAGGAUCAAAAGCUUCAGGCACAUAACAGAUUUCCAUUGUUCCUUCACUUAUCUCUAUCCUUUCAAUUCGUUACUUCCCGUUGAGAUCGUCGCAUCUAUCGUUGUUACGUUUCUCGUCUUAAAAGUCAGACAACCAAGACUUACACACAACAUAGUCACAGACAUCGCUCCAUCCCCAGCGACCCAUUCAUCACUGUUUGUGCAGCCACAUUCAUGACCAUGCAACUUCUCCUUUACCAACGAGUCUAAGGGCAACAGCUCCUACACCCACGUUUCUAUUCCUCGUUUUGCUUGCGACACAAUUUAUCACUUGAGUCUAUGUGUCCUUCCAUUUACAGUACACUGUCAUCUACCUAGUUCCCCAGCAUGCUAAUUUGUUCACGCAUUGCAUCAAUAUCUUUCUGUAUCUUGUCAAUAAGCUCAACAAUCUCCGGCUAAAUUUCAAAUAGGUAGGUCUCUAGAUCUUCUUCUUCGUCGAUCUUGCCUCCUAAUUACCAUCAAGUUGGUAGCGAAGUUCUUUCUUAAGAUCUUUAAUUGUGAAUUGGUCUAGUUGUUUAAAGGAUGCCAUUAAGUACGAAUACUAUCUCAUCUCGUUGAAUCGCCUAUAAUACCACUUCGGACACAAAUGUAAUAACUGAAAAUAGGCAACUUAACGACGCAACUCUAUUUAUUUACAUAAGGACAUCACACAUACAUGAGACAACUUCUGCCUUAAGCAUAUAACUCUACUUUGGCGGAACUUGUUCUCUCUUCCUUUUAAUAUCAACAUCCUUUUUAGUCUCAUCUCUAAUAGUGCGCACCUUCUGCACUAUCUUGGAUGGCGGUGUGCAUGGGAAAGUUAUAACAAUUCUGUUCAGCUUUAAUUCAUCAGCAGCUUCAGACACAUUUUUAAGGUAAAUAAAAGGAAACCACUGCUUGGUAGACACUAAUUUUUAUAGGCAGGCGGGGUUAUUUAUUCGGCCAACUCACUCCUAGAGACGUCCAAAACCACUAAUGGCCCCGGCAAGACGUUUAUCAACCUUGAAAAACGAUGCAUCUUUCGAUACCAAGCAUCCUAGCUAUGUGAAGUAGUCUACCACGUUAAGGGUUUGUUUAUUUACGGGGAUCUCUUUGGGGCUGAGUAGGUUUUAUUGGGUGAAUAACAUGACUUUUUCUUUUAAAUAAAUGCAACAAAAGAAGCGGCGGCGUAUGCAAAUUCGUUGACUGCUCCAACUUUUUUUCUCCGAAAAUAAUUGAAUGUAUUCUUCUUUAGAAUACUAACGCAGUGUUUUUAAGUCUUUCUGACAUUUUAUUUUGUUUUCACCUACAGAUAUUGCAUUACUCAAUGUUUUGUUCCAAAGUCUUAACGAAUAAACUAAUUGCAGUUUUUAAAGUCUGAACGUAACCAUUUCAGAAGUUACAAAGCAAAAACAUUCUUCCAAGCCAAUAAUAGCCCUCUAGUUUUAGGCAAAAGAUACAAUGUAAUCGACUCGACCUGAGCUGCGAUUUUCUAGACUGUAUCUUGGCUAUCUUAUGAAAUACAGACGUUACUUUAAAAAAAGAAGUUGAUUACGUCCUACGCGUGUUCUUUAUGGGGACUUUCUUUUCUAAUCGCCCUGUAGAUUAACAUUUAGAACUAAAACACACGUAAGCAACUCUUUGGAUUUGGAGUCUUUACACGAUGUCUCAUUUUUGUCUUUACACAAAUGUGUUCCAAACUAAAUAUAUUUCCUCAGCAAAUGAUUCACCCGAGCAAGGGUCGCUCACCUAGUACUAAAGCAUAAAGUAAGGCGUGCGUAUGUAUGUAUGUGUGCAUGUGUGUAUGUGUGUGUUUGUGUGCGUGCGUGCAUGCAUGCGUGUAUGUAUGUAUGUCCCACAUAGAAAAUCAAAACCGUUUGACCAAUCUUGAUAACACUUGGCAUAAAUGUUCCUUGUGAACUAACUGGAACCGUAAUGUAUGUACAGUAGCCCAAAAAAAAAAAGACCCUAAAAAAAAAAAUGUACCCAACUCUAUGAAAGUAUUAUUAUUUCGUGGAUAUAGGCCAUAAAGCCAUGUCUACAUUAGGCUAGAAAGACCACGCAUGCGUAGAGAUGAAAAUCUCUAGAACCUUAGAUCUAAUUCAAUAAGACAUAAUUGUUUACUUACACAUUAACAUACAAAAUAGUGUCGAUUCAUUACAUUAUUAAAUGAAAAUUAUCCUUAAAAUUUGAGUUUUCAAAACAUUUUUUACUUAAAUUCGUUCGCUCUAAAUGUGAAUAACUUUAGCCGUGUUGAUACAAAUGUAAUCAAAGCCAGAGGUCAUAAUAUUUCGCGUUAUAAAGGCAUAUUAUUAAACUACUUACACAAUACAAUUUAUCUUAUCUAAAGCAUUUAAGCCUACAACUACCGAUUCGGUUUACUUUUAAGUCUUUUUUUUUUUCAAUUUACUUCUUUUUUCAGAUUGACUUAUGCGCUCUUUAAAACAUAGUUACAUAUAUACAUUAGCCGUGGUCACAAACAUGUUUAUUUAUCAUAUGGCGUACCAGAAAGUCAUGAAUGCUCGUGACCUAACAUCUCGCAAUUCUGCAUCUAUUUGUCGCAAACAUAAUUCUAAAUAAAAUCUAAAGAUUGUCAUUAGGGUCUCUGAAUCUCAAUACCUAAGUUUUAUGGGAGUAAAAACAGUAAUUUAGAGGAAAUCCAACAGCGCGAGACGACAGCGAACUCUCAAAUUGUGUCGAAGAUGCAGACAUUAAAAAUAAGGAAGACCACUCGGGUAAAAACAAAAUAUUGAAUAAAGAAUAUAGAUGUAUAUAAAAUUCUUUUGACAUUUAUGAAUAUUUAAUGAUUAACUAUAGAAAUCAUCAUUGACAUUUAUUUUUAAUUUUUAAGGUAGGUAUGGUAGGUAACUUCAAAAAAAUCUUUUACUGAUAUAGAUGAGCCAUCAGCACCUACCUAUGGAUUAAAUAUAUCUUUGUAGAUAGAAUACCGACAUAAAAACUAAAGAACCUAUUGAUGGCUUCCUGGUUAUGCUAUUUGUACUUCGGAGUGCCAUUGCAAUAGUGCUAGUUCGUACUAGCCUAUCAAUGUCCUCUGUUAAACUGCAGGAAGUAUAAGCUUGAUGGAUUAACAAUUUCUGAAGUAACUUCAGAAAUAAGCUUAUAAAACAGAAAAAAAGAUUUGUUUUACACUGAAAAUCAACCAGGCCAGUAAGAUUUAUUGAUUUUUUUUUUUGGAGAUUUAAAAAAAAAAUAUUUUCAUCAUGCAGGCGGAUUCAUCAGUGAUGCACAAUCUACAUCUCACAAGCCAUAUACCAGGCUUUAAUGGGUUAGUAUCUGGCCUCUCAAAACUCUUGCCCAUGUUGUAUAAUGAAGCCAUACACCAGGCUUUAAUGGGUUAGUAUCUGGCCUCUCAAAACUCUUGCCCAUGUUGUAUAAUGAAGCCAUACACCAGGCUUUAAUGGGUUAGUAUCUGGCCACUCAAAAACUCUUGCCCAUGUUGUAUAAUGAAGCCAUACACCAGGCUUUAAUGG